UACGGGGGGGGCAAGCGUUGUUCGGAAUUACUGGGCGUAAAGGGCUCGUAGGCGGCCAACUAAGUCAUACGUGAAAUCCCUCGGCUUAACCGGGGAACUGCGUCUGAUACUGGAUGGCUUGAGUUCGGGAGAGGGAUGCGGAAUUCCAGGUGUAGCGGUGAAAUGCGUAGAUAUCUGGAGGAACACCGGUGGCGAAGGCGGCAUCCUGGACCGAUACUGACACUGAGGAGCGAAAGCUAGGGGAGCAAACGGG
rnacentral:rRNA from 1 species